rnacentral:tRNA from 1 species
GUCCCCAUCGUCUAGCUGGCCAAGGACAGUGGAUUUUCGAUCCACCAACCGGAGUUCGAAUCUCCGUGGGGACACCA